GUUAACUUUGCGUGCUCUGCAUCAGCAGCUGAGGGUUUUGUUGGUUCAGAUCCUGGGCACGGGCAUGGCAUCGCUCAUCAGGCCAUGCUGAGGUGGCAUCCCAUAUAGCACAACCAGAGGCACUCACAACUCGAAUAUACAACUAGAUGCAGACUUUUUACCUGGAGCUCAGGUGUGGCUUGGACUGUGGCUCCUGCAGCACCAGGGAACGGCUAAAGAGACAUUCUCAGUCUGCAUUGACCUGCACCCUCCCACUGCCCUCUGCGCAUGGACUCGUCUAGGAAAUGCCAGCUCACACUAGUAGCCUGGAUGUAAUGAUUGUCCAAAUGGAAGAGGCUGCAUAAUUGAUCUGUUUCUGCUCCAACUGGUACAGUGCCACCGCCCUCACAUGUGGUUUGGAGAGCUGAGGAUGGACACCCUGCGUGCUGUGAGCUCUCUGGGAUGACGUCCAGCUGUCUGUUGAUAGUGUCCUUGUGGCUCCAACAUGAUGACAAAACUCUCUGGAGCUGACCCGCUGCUGCCUGAAAUGACUUCCCCAGAUGACCCUUUGUCCAAGAGCCCUGGCCCUCCCUCCACUGCUCUCCCUGACUCUCCUCUCAUAUGAAUUCCCUCCAUCCUUUAUGAGAAAAUCACUCAUUUUAUGUAUUAUGCCAUCACUAUGAGGCAGGAACACAGAUUUGGGUCUAAACCACACGUGCUUUAUAAAAUAUUUCUUCCAGAUUUUUAUCCCUCAGUCAUGUGGGAUUUGGGUGGAAAAUUAGGGAAAUAAUUCACCUCAUGGAGAGAUUUCCAUUCUUUGGGAACUCCCACGUCUGACUGGAGACACACAUGUGUCCUCAUUUCAAUGAGGAAAUCCUGGAUUAACUGUGUGUGUGGCUGUGCUGUCUUCUAUCAGCUCUGCAGAAGUGAUGGCCUCAGAGCCAGAGUCAUGGUUGAUGCUGCCUCAUUGAGUAUCACAGGUUAGGAUGGACUGAAGAGGACAACUUAGGGCCAAACUUCAAUAUGGAACCACCAGGGGUUGUGAUUCUGUUUCGCUUCGUGCAAUCUUUUCUUCUUCCCAUAAAUUUUCUUUAUUCAGAUUUAAAAAGUUUUGUUUCUACAAAACCCCUGAAAAUGCCAGCAGGUCUCAGUGAGCUCUCAUUAUGUAGACUCAUCAGUGUGUAGGAUGCUGUGUGGUUCUGGGGUGACUCCAGGAUGUUGAGCACUUGGUAUGUGGGUGAGUAACAUAGACAUUGUGACAGAGAAGGUCACUGUCCUGCCUGAUGGGUAGCAGGCCUCUGUGACUGAUUCUCAAGGCCUUGUGCACGGCCACCACAGUCUACCCAAGAACAAUGGAGAACACACUUGACCUGAUGUGGUUGUGGGCCAACUGUCUGCUUCCAAAGAACGCUUCCUUCUAGAGGAUCCCUGAGAAUCCUGAGUUAGAGGUCCAGUAUGGAGGAGGCUGCCAGAGGAGUGGAAUUCUGAGUUGCCUCUUCAGUUGUAAGCUGUGAACCCAGAGAAACAUGCUGGCUGUAGAUAAUGAAGAGACUGUUCAGUACAAUGAGAAAAGGCAGCCUGAAUCUGUUUUCGACUCCCACUGAAACGUUGGUUCUUCCUGGGUCUGAUGCCUGCUGAUCUCUGGACUGGAACUACACCAUCAGCUCUGCUGGGUCUCUGGUUUACCACUCAUCCUCAAGAUCCAGGACUUGCCAGAUUCCAUGAUCUCUUGAGUCAUGAACAUGGAGUUAUCAUUGGAUGUCCACGGGGAAACAUCGCUCCCUUUGGAACUGAAGCCUCUAGAGAAGCAGAACAAAUGACUACAGAGACAGUAAGGAAAAGUUCACUAGAUGUCCACUAGAGGUCUUACAGGCUCUCCUGAGACGCACGCCUGCAUCAUGUGUGGACUCAGUUGGCUGCUGACCCCAAGGCACUUCUAACAACUCACACACCUAAUACCAGAAGACAUCCUGACAAUCACACAGUCAGACAUCAAUAGAGAGCGGGCUGGGGAAUCUGCUCACCUCCAGUGUCCCCAAUGCCCCCAUGGCCAGAGCCCCAAUAAAGAGUUAAAUUUCUGUUAGUACCAAACUUACACUAUACACCCGAAAAAAGACUGAGGGAGUUAUGCACAGAUGUAAAUAUGUUUAGGGGAAAAAUUUUAAAAUAUACUGAGGGCAAAUGAGCUAAGCAUCCCACCUAAUGAGUGGAGCAAAAGGCAGACACGGGUAUUUGAAAUGAGUAAAACUUUUACUACACACAUUAAAAAAUAAGAAUGUUUUGCAUUUUCUUUAUAUUCACUGACACUAUCUAAAAGUAUCACUCACUUGUAUAAAUAAAAACUUCACCACAGCAGUUCAAAUAUGAAUUUAACCAGAGAUAUUGCCAUUUUUUUUAAUCAAUAAGGAAAUUGUGGAUGUUGCAAGUUACUCUCAUAUUCUGCGCCCUCCUGUUCCUCACUUGUUCACAGAGUAAAUCACUGACUUAAAUGUGAGCUUUCCCCAGACCAAAGUCUUUGGUGAAUGGAAAGGAAGCUGGAAAAGCCUCCAGGGUCACCACCUGCUUGGUUCAGAGAGACACCCAGGGGGCACCAUCUCCUCCACCAUUCUGUUCCAUCACACCUUUUGAUUGGUUUUAUUAGAAAGCUCAAUGGAGAAAUUUCUUUAAAAAUCUCAUCUGCCAGGGGCUGGCCCCGUG
ensembl:lncRNA